GCGCCUGUAGCUCAGCUGGAUAGAGCAACGGACUUCUAAUCCGUGGGUCGGAGGUUCGAAUCCUCUCAGGCGCG
rnacentral:tRNA from 1 species